GAAGGUAUGUGAAAAAAAUGUUAUGUAUAUUUUAUUAUACAUAUAGCUCUAUAUAUAUACAAAAUAGCUUUCUAUUGAGCUUGUUUAAGUAGAUAUUUUAAGCUAUUUUUCAGGCUAAGGUUAGAGUUUUGGGAGUCAUCAAUCUUAAAACUUGGACAAUGAGUUACUUUUUAAAAAAAUGACACUGAAAGUAUCACUGUUCAUCUUUCAGAUUUAACAUAAAGGAAUUAGAAAGGACUGCGUCUGGGUCAGUGUCAGCAAAUCUCAGACCUAUGAUUAUCAAGGGCUCUCAGCAUCAUGGUCGUGGCUGACUGUGUGACACGCACCUAAAACUCUACCCCAAAUUCCACGUGGGUCUCUGAGUCCUAAUGUACCUGCUUAAUUCAGGCAAGCUCUUUCCAGCAACUCUAAGCUAUCCUUUUUUAUCAACUCUAGCAGAAAAAAAGAGCUGCUCUUUUCCAAUAUUUUGGACAAAUUCCUGGGAUUGAAACAUCUUGGUCCAACAUAGGUCAGGUGCCUAGCUCUGAACCCAUCACUGAGGCUGGAAGAUAGAAUAUGCUGAUUCAACCAGGCCUCAGCCUCAUGCCACCUGAAGCUGGCUAGUGGUCAACCCACUUCAUGGAAUAAGAGAAGAAGGGGUGGUCCCUUCUAAGGAAACUGGAGUUCUGUUGCCUGAAAAAGGGGUGAAUGGAUUCUGGGAAGGCAUAAUAACAGAAGUUUACCACAUAUAUCGAUCUUUUAGGCAUUGCUUCAAAAUCUUUGAGGAUUGAAGUUCGCUAUGAAGAAAGACUGAGGCCAACCUUUGGAUUCCCUCCGCUACAUCAUGCCAAGAAACUCUAGCAUCUCAACCUCAUUAACGGUAGACCACCACUGACUCCAAAUUUUAGUCAACCAAGUAAGCUGUUACAGCCAACUCCAGCUGCAUGAUCUAACCCUUUGAAUUCACAAUAUCCAGUGAAGUGUACCCAUAUCAAUGAAUUCAGCUGGAUCUAAUGUUAUAUUCUGCUCUCCUUGCUCUAAUACCCUUAGCAUCUACUCCUACACACUCACCAGGUUUCUGAUAAUAUAUAUUAAUGAAGCUGGCAAUUCUUUUGGUGUGCAAGCUAUGUCCUCCUGGAUCAC